AGCUACACAUGCAGUCGAGCGGUAGAGAGAAGCUUGCUUCUCUUGAGAGCGGCGGACGGGUGAGUAAUGCCUAGGAAUCUGCCUGGUAGUGGGGGAUAACGUCCGGAAACGGACGCUAAUACCGCAUACGUCCUACGGGAGAAAGCAGGGGACCUUCGGGCCUUGCGCUAUCAGAUGAGCCUAGGUCGGAUUAGCUAGUUGGUGGGGUAAUGGCUCACCAAGGCGACGAUCCGUAACUGGUCUGAGAGGAUGAUCAGUCACACUGGAACUGAGACACGGUCCAGACUCCUACGGGAGGCAGCAGUGGGGAAUAUUGGACAAUGGGCGAAAGCCUGAUCCAGCCAUGCCGCGUGUGUGAAGAAGGUCUUCGGAUUGUAAAGCACUUUAAGUUGGGAGGAAGGGCAGUAAAUUAAUACUUUGCUGUUUUGACGUUACCGACAGAAUAAGCACCGGCUAACUCUGUGCCAGCAGCCGCGGUAAUACAGAGGGUGCAAGCGUUAAUCGGAAUUACUGGGCGUAAAGCGCGCGUAGGUGGUUCGUUAAGUUGGAUGUGAAAUCCCCGGGCUCAACCUGGGAACUGCAUUCAAAACUGACGAGCUAGAGUAUGGUAGAGGGUGGUGGAAUUUCCUGUGUAGCGGUGAAUGCGUAGAUAUAGGAAGGAACACCAGUGGCGAAGGCGACCACCUGGACUGAUACUGACACUGAGGUGCGAAGGCGUGGGGAGCAAACAGGAUUAGAUACCCUGGUAGUCCACGCCGUAAACGAAUGUUCAACUAGCCGUUGGGAGCCUUGGCUCUCUUAGUGGCCGCAGCUAACGCAUUAAGUUGACCGCCUGGGGAGUACGGCCGCAAGGUUAAAACCCUCAAAUGAAUUGACGGGGCCCGCACAAGCGGUGGACCAUGUGGUUUAAUUCGAAGCAACGCGAAGAACCUUACCAGGCCUUGACAUCCAAUGA
rnacentral:rRNA from 1 species